GCGGUAAUACGUAGGGGGCUAGCGUUAUCCGGAUUUACUGGGCGUAAAGGGUGCGUAGGCGGUCUUUCAAGUCAGGAGUGAAAGGCUACGGCUCAACCGUAGUAAGCUCUUGAAACUGGGAGACUUGAGUGCAGGCGAGGAGAGUGGAAUUCCUAGUGUAGCGGUGAAAUGCGUAGAUAUUAGGAGGAACACCAGUUGCGAAGGCGGCUCUCUGGACUGUAACUGACGCUGAGGCACGAAAGCGUGGGGAGCAAACAGGAUUAGAUACCCUGGUAGUCCACGCUGUAAACGA
rnacentral:rRNA from 1 species